CUUGCCAGCACAUAUACUAAAAAAAAAUUGGAAUGAUCCAGAGAAGAUCAGCAUGGGCCCUGCGCGAGGACGUCAUGCAAAUCUGUGACGUGUUCUGUACUUCU
rnacentral:snRNA from 1 species